rnacentral:rRNA from 1 species
UACGUAGGGUGCAAGCGUUGUCCGGAAUUAUUGGGCGUAAAGAGCUCGUAGGCGGUUUGUUGCGUCGGCUGUGAAAUCCCGAGGCUCAACCUCGGGUCUGCAGUCGAUACGGGCGGACUGGAGUUCGGCAGGGGAGACUGGAAUUCCUGGUGUAGCGGUGAAAUGCGCAGAUAUCAGGAGGAACACCGGUGGCGAAGGCAGCUCGCUGGGACGUAACUGACGCUGAGACGCGAAAGCGUGGGGAGCAAACAGG